rnacentral:rRNA from 1 species
CGGGGCAGCAUAGGGUUUCAGCAAUGAAAUUCGGAUGGCGACCGGCGCACGGGUGAGUAACACGUAUCCAACCUGCCCUUUACUCGGGGAUAGCCUUGCGAAAGUAAGAUUAAUACCGCAUGACACAUUGGGGUCGCAUGGCCCUGAUGUCAAAGAUUUAUCGGUAAGCGAUGGGGAUGCGUUCCAUUAGAUAGUAGGCGGGGUAACGGCCCACCUAGUCUUCGAUGGAUAGGGGUUCUGAGAGGAAGGUCCCCACAUUGGAACUGAGACACGGUCCAAACUCC